GAUGAAGAACGUAGCGAAAUGCGAUAAGUAAUGUGAAUUGCAGAAUUCAGUGAAUCAUCGAAUCUUUGAACGCACCUUGCGCUCCUUGGUAUUCCGAGGAGCAUGCCUGUUUGAGUGUCAUGAAAUCUUCAACCUAUAAGCUUUUGUGGUUUGUAGGCUUGGACUUGGAGGCUUGUCGGCCUUGAUUGGUCGGCUCCUCUUAAAUGCAUUAGCUUGAUUCCUUGUGGAUCGGCUCUCGGUGUGAUAAUAUCUACGCCGCGACCGUGAAGCGUUUGGCGAGCUUCUAACCGUCUCACUUGAGAGACAACUUUAUGACCUCUGACCUCAAAUCAGGUAGGACUACCCGCUGAACUUAAGCAUAUCAAUAAGCGGAGGA
rnacentral:misc_RNA from 1 species